rnacentral:rRNA from 1 species
GACGUAGGGGGCGAGCGUUGUCCGGAGUUACUGGGCGUAAAGCGUGCGUCGGCGGUGGCCCAAGUUCGCUGUGACAGGACUCGGCUUAACCGAGUCAGGCCUGCGAAAACUGGGGCACUUGAGCAACUCAGAGGGAGAGGGAAUUCCAGGUGGAGCGGUGAAAUGCGUAGAGAUCUGGAGGAACACCCAUGGCGAAGGCACUCUCCUGGGGGUUUGCUGACGCUCAGGCACGAAAGCGAGGGGAGCGAACGGG